AGCUCUGGAAACCCUAUGGCUGCUCGCUUGCAUUCCAAUCUUCCCUAGAAACAAUCCAAAAGCAGAAGGAAGAGAAAAGUCAAUGGCUAAUGUGGUUUAAAGUGAGGCUUUUCUAGUCAAGUUCUUCAACACCACAUAUUCUCCCAAGGUCUAGACUGCCAUGCUUCAUUUGUCUGCUCAGGUCUUGGCCAUCAGGAAUACAGAAGCAAUUAAGUCCAUUAGGAAGGCCUGAGGCAGCUGCAAGAAAAGAUUGGGUGAGCGGAGGGACCCAGCCAACAUCCCACCUGCUCAACGCAUCACCUGAAGUGAAUAGGAAUUUAAGAAACUUCCUUGUCCCAGGCUGCUACCACUGAGGUCAUGAAGCAAGUCAGAAUCUCACAUUUCAAGAAUGCAAUCUAGGCACAGGAAGAAGUUGAGACAGGGAGUGCCAUCUCUGUCCUACUGGAGAUGUGUAAUGAGGGUAAGGAAGCUAAUGCUGGGAUGAAAGUGACCAAGAUUAUCAACACAAACAGAGUCGAAGCAACUCAGCCAUUCUCAGAAUGAACAACAAGCCCAGCGGUUCCCUUGACCACCAGCGGAGGCUUCACUCCCACCACACACUAAGGAAAUCCACUGUUCACCAGCCUCUGCUGAACGAUGGCAUGUGUGGGAAUAGAUUUCAACAGAACUUAAAACACAUUGAACUAAAUGAAGAUGAACGUGCUACACAUAAAAAUUGGUGGAAUUUAGCUAAAGCAAUAAGAUAAGAAAAAUAUGUAGGGCUACAUGCCCACAUUAGAAAAGAAGAAAGACCCUGUAUCAACAAUCCAGGUACUGAUGGAAAGAAACAGAAAGAACAUCAAAAUAAACCGACUAGAGCAGAAAA
rnacentral:lncRNA from 1 species